rnacentral:rRNA from 1 species
GAACCGUGCGAACGUUGUUCGGAAUCACUGGGCUUAAAGGGCGCGUAGGCGGGCUGUCAAGUCUGGGGUGAAAUGCCGCGGCUCAACCGUGGAACUGCCUUAGAUACUGACGGCCUCGAGGGAGGUAGGGGCGUGCGGAACUGUAGGUGGAGCGGUGAAAUGCGUUGAUAUCUACAGGAACUCCGGUGGCGAAAGCGGCGCGCUGGACCUCUUCUGACGCUGAGGCGCGAAAGCUAGGGGAGCAAACGGGAUUAGAUACCCCGGUAGUCCUAGCCCUAAACGAUGGGUACUAGGUAGUAGACUAGACAUGGGUUUACUGCCGAAGCUAAAGUGCUAAGUACCCCGCCUGGGGAGUAUGGUCGCAAGGCUGAA